GUAGAAGAGAGGGAGAAGAGAGAGGGUUCAAAGGAAAGACUGGUUCAUGCGGCGCAGAACUUCGACUUGGAACGGUGCUCUCCAUUCGCGGUGAGACUAGUUUGGCGGCAACGACGAUUGACGAUUCCAUUCUUGAGGGCUUAGCCUGGUGAUUUGAGUCUCAUGAGCUGCACCCCCCUCCCCCUUCACUUAGAGAUGCCACACCUUCAUUGUCUUAUACAUCAGAAGCUUGCAGUUCAUGAUUUUCUUUCUAGUUCCCCCAUAAUGGAGCCAAAAUCCAAUUUUGUGAAAGGGAUAAGGGAGACUCUUCUUGGACAUCUUAUAGUUGUUCUUGGAAAUGAUGGCAUGGCAGCUCAUUUCAUGUUGUUGCAUCUUUUGUCCAGGGUACAAGGCUUGUCCUCAUAGUCAC